rnacentral:rRNA from 1 species
GCAUAUCAAUAAGCGGAGGAAAAGAAACCAACAGGGAUUGCCCUAGUAACGGCGAGUGAAGCGGCAACAGCUCAAAUUUGAAAGCUAGCCUUCGGGUUCGCAUUGUAAUUUGUAGAGGAUGAUUUGGGGAAGCCGCCUGUCUAAGUUCCUUGGAACAGGACGUCAUAGAGGGUGAGAAUCCCGUAUGUGACAGGAAAUGGCACCCUAUGUAAAUCUCCUUCGACGAGUCGAGUUGUUUGGGAAUGCAGCUCUAAAUGGGAGGUAAAUUUCUUCUAAAGCUAAAUAUUGGCGAGAGACCGAUAGCGCACAAGUAGAGUGAUCGAAAGAUGAAAAGCACUUUGGAAAGAGAGUUAAAAAGCACGUGAAAUUGUUGAAAGGGAAGCGCUUGCAAUCAGACUUGUUUAAACUGUUCGGCCGGUCUUCUGACAGGUUUACUCAGUUUGGACAGGCCAGCAUCAGUUUCGGCGGCCGGAUAAAGGCUCUGGGAAUGUGGCCUCCACUUCGGUGGAGGUGUUAUAGCCCAGGGUGUAAUACGGCCAGCCGGGACUGAGGUCCGCGCAUCUGCUAGGAUGCUGGCGUAAUGGUUGUAAGCGACCCGUCUUGAAACACGGACC